GACGAACGCUGGCGGCGUGCUUAACACAUGCAAGUCGAACGGAAAGGCCCUGCUUUUGUGGGGUGCUCGAGUGGCGAACGGGUGAGUAACACGUGAGUAACCUGCCCUUGACUUUGGGAUAACUUCAGGAAACUGGGGCUAAUACCGGAUAGGAGCUCCUGCUGCAUGGUGGGGGUUUGAAAGUUUCGGCGGUUGGGGAUGGACUCGCGGCUUAUCAGCUUGUUGGUGGGGUAGUGGCUUACCAAGGCUUUGACGGGUAGCCGGCCUGAGAGGGUGACCGGCCACAUUGGGACUGAGAUACGGCCCAGACUCCUACGGGAGGCAGCAGUGGGGAAUAUUGCACAAUGGGCGGAAGCCUGAUGCAGCAACGCCGCGUGCGGGAUGACGGCCUUCGGGUUGUAAACCGCUUUCGCCUGUGACGAAGCGUGAGUGACGGUAAUGGGUAAAGGAGCACCGGCGAACUAUGU
rnacentral:rRNA from 1 species